rnacentral:rRNA from 1 species
UACGAAGGGGGCUAGCGUUGCUCGGAAUCACUGGGCGUAAAGCGCACGUAGGCGGAUUGAUAAGUCAGGGGUGAAAUCCUGGAGCUCAACUCCAGAACUGCCUUUGAUACUGGCGACCUUGAGUCCGGGAGAGGUGAGUGGAACUGCGAGUGUAGAGGUGAAAUUCGUGGAUAUUCGGAGGAACACCAGUGGCGAAGGCGGCUCACUGGUCCGGUACUGACGCUGAGGUGCGAAAGCGUGGGGAGCAAACAGG